CGAAGGGAAGAAGUAUUUCAUGGAGAAACACCAGCUGUAGCAAAGAAAAGGAAGUUUGGAUCUGCCUGCUCUCCUUCCUCCCUCCCUCCCGCUCCUUUUCUCCCUCUCUCCCUCCCUGCUUCCUUCCUCCUUACUUCCCUCCCUCCCUCUUUUCUUCCCUCCCUUCCUUCUGUUUUUUCCCCCCUCCCUCCCUUCCUUCUGUCUUUCAGUUUCCCGUUAGUCUGAGAUCCUGCAGGAUAGAUAUUUCUGGUGCUCUUCACAGAAUGAAGGGCCUUGGGUUUCCUCCUGAUACCCCACGAUGCAUGCAAAGACAUAGCAGAUAAAGAGAUAAUCAUAAUCUAACCGCAAAAUGCAUCCCUUGCACUCUGUUAUUAUAUUAACAGCGCUGCUGGUACUUUCCUUCUAACUUUUACCCGUGGAGAAUUGAAAAGACACUUGGAGUGAAGGUUCAGAAUCUUCAAAACGUGUACACCAUCAGCAUAAAUGUCUCAUUCUGGAUAAAUCCGCUUCAAUUAUAUAUUUAACUCAGCUGAGAGCUCCCCAAAGAAGGGUUAUUCUGUAUUCACCAGCAAAGUAUUUUUGAUACCCUCAUGGGGACAAUGAUUUGCCAAAAAUUCAUGCAACUUUUUUUAUAUUAAUGCAGGAAAACUUGAAGAUUAUUAAGUCCAUGCUUCUGACAGCCCCUGCAGUUACAAAUAAAAUAGCUAAUGAGAAGAAAAACUGCCCCUACCGGCUUAUUCCCAAAGCCCCAGCCAUCUUUACGCAAGAAUGCUGUGACAAAUGGUACUUUUCACAUUUCUAACAUGCCCCUUCUCCGAUUAUAGAUGUAGAUGGAUAACAUGACCACAAGAGUUAGGCCCCGAAGCAGAUGAUUGCCUCUGGCACCCGCCGUAUGCAAUUCGAGGUGAAAUUUCCAAGAGCCAAAUGAAAUAAUUGCAACAGGCCUUCAUGGGGCUUUGAAUUCAGCCUCAAACAUUGUGAUAAUCCGAUCCUGACACUUGCCCUCCCCUCAUUCACUCUUUUAACAAUCCCAAGAGAGUGCAGGACUGAGAUCCGAAAAUGUUAUUAUGGAGGGGAAAUAAAGGUUAUUUUGAAUGCUUCAAGGUCACGUGACUUGUAAGAAGAAGUCAGUUGCUAUGUACAAAGUCCUACUACUCUAAGACUGCCAUACCAUGAGAAGCCCAACCUAGCCAUGUGGAGAGGUCAUGUGAAGGAGAACUGAGUCUUCCAGCCAGCAACCCCAGCUGAGCUUCCAGCCAACAAACAGCACUAACUUGCAUGGGAGAAGCUGUCCAGGAAGUGAAUCCUUGAGCUCCAAUUGAGCUGCCUCAAGCUGGUGUCACGUGGAGCAGAGAUGAGCUGUCCCUGACAUACCUUGCACAAAUUUCAGAAACAU
rnacentral:lncRNA from 1 species